UAGGGAAUAUUGGUAAUCUGGGAAACCGGGAACCAGCAACGCCGCGUGAGCGAAGAAGGCCUUUGGGUCGUAAAGCUCUGUCCGAGGGGAAGAUAAUGACGGUACCCUUGGAGGAAGCCCCGGCUAACUACGUGCCAGCAGCCGCGGUAAUACGUAGGGGGCGAGCGUUAUCCGGAAUUAUUGGGCGUAAAGAGUGCGUAGGUGGUUCUUUAAGCGUGAGGUGAAAGGCAAUGGCUUAACUAUUGUAAGCCUUGCGAACUGGAGAACUUGAGUGCAGGAGAGGUAAGUGGAAUUCCUAGUGUAGCGGUGAAAUGCGUAGAUAUUAGGAGGAACACCAGUGGCGAAGGCGACUUACUGGACUGUAACUGACGCUCAGGCACGAAAGCGUGGGGAUCAAACA
rnacentral:rRNA from 1 species